rnacentral:tRNA from 1 species
AAGACAAUAGUUUAUUUAGAACAUUUGGUUUGCAUUCAAAAAGAACCUAGGUCUGUCUUG